UACGUAGGGGGCGAGCGUUGUCCGAAGUUACUGGGCGUAAAGCGCGUGUAGGCGGGUCUUUAAGUGAGGGGUGAAAGGUUUGGGCUUAACCCAGACACUGCCUUUCAUACUGGAGACCCUGAGUGCGGGAGAGGCGAGUGGAAUGGUCGGUGUAGCGGUGAAAUGCGUAGAUAUCGAUCGGAACACCCAUGGCGAAGGCAGCUCGCUGGCCUGUAACUGACGCUGAGACGCGAAAGCGUGGGGAGCAAACAGG
rnacentral:rRNA from 1 species